rnacentral:rRNA from 1 species
UACAGAGGGGGCAAGCGUUGUUCGGAAUUACUGGGCGUAAAGGGCGCGUAGGUGGUGGCUUAAGCGUGCGGUGAAAGCUCGGGGCUCAACCCCGAGUCGGCCGUGCGAACUGGGCUCACUGGAGCAUAGUAGAGGCAGGUGGAAUUCCGGGUGUAGCGGUGAAAUGCGUAGAUAUCGGGAGGAACAUCAGUGGCGAAGGCGGCCUCUGGUCCAGUACUGACACUCAAGUGCGAAAGCGUGGG